rnacentral:rRNA from 1 species
GACGAACGCUGGCGGCGUGCUUAACACAUGCAAGUCGAACGGAAAGGCCCUGCUUGCAGGGUACUCGAGUGGCGAACGGGUGAGUAACACGUGGGUGAUCUGCCCUGCACUUCGGGAUAAGCCUGGGAAACUGGGUCUAAUACCGGAUAGGAGCCAUUUUUAGUGUGAUGGUUGGAAAGUUUUUUCGGUGUAGGAUGAGCUCGCGGCCUAUCAGCUUGUUGGUGGGGUAAUGGCCUACCAAGGCGGCGACGGGUAGCCGGCCUGAGAGGGUGGACGGCCACAUUGGGACUGAGAGACGGCCCAGACUCCUACGGGAGGCAGCAGGGGGGAAUAUUGCACAAUGGGCGCAAGCCUGAUGCAGCGACGCCGCGUGGGGGAUGACGGCCUUCGGGUUGUAAACUCCUUUCGCUAGGGACGAAGCUUUUUGUGACGGUACCUAGAGAAGAAGCACCGGCUAACUACGUG